rnacentral:rRNA from 1 species
GAUGAACGCUGGCGGCGUGCUUAACACAUGCAAGUCGAACGGAGUUUACAUGUGAGCGGAGGGUGCUUGCAUCUAACAAUCUUUUGUAAACUUAGUGGCGGACGGGUGAGUAACGCGUGGGUAACCUGCCGUAUGCAGGGGGACAACAGCUGGAAACGGCUGCUAAUACCGCAUGAGACCACAGGACCGCAUGGUCUAGAGGUCAAAGAUUUAUCGGUAGAAGAUGGGCUCGCGUCUGAUUAGCUAGUUGGUGAGGUAACGGCCCACCAAGGCGACGAUCAGUAGCCGACCUGAGAGGGUGAUCGGCCACAUUGGAACUGAGAAACGGUCCAAACUCCUACGGGAGGCAGCAGUGGGGAAUAUUGGGCAAUGGGGGAAACCCUGACCCAGCAACGCCGCGUGAAGGAAGAAGGUUUUCGGAUCGUAAACUUCUAUCCUUGGUGAAGAUAAUGACGGUAGCCAAGAAGGAAGCCCCGGCUAACUACGUG